AUCUGGUGCCUGCUGGGAACCGCGGUGUCAGAGCAUGUGCCCGCUGUAUUUAUAGCUCCCGGGAGGCACCGGAGGGAGCAUGGGGAGCUGGCAGGAGCGGUUCAGGCCGUACUAAGCGUUCCGUGCGGCCGAGAGGCAGCGGCUGAGGGCUGAAAGCCUCCCCGGAGCGGUCUGACAGUGCCACCGGCCAGCUGAGAGUGCAUUAAGCCUUGCCCUCGUGUGCGUGGGCUCACGCAGAGGGGGGCGACAUGGAUGUCGUGCCCAACAACAAAGCUCCCCAGGGAUGCACUGCCAGCCUGGAAGGUGGUGCUGUGUUUAUAGGCAUCAGUGACCAGGACUGGACCUCUCUUGAGUCGAGGCCAGAGAGCUGCUUCAUGCUGUACGCACCGCGUGGAACUUGCAGGCAUUGAGGUCUUUAAAUACCCCAGCAUGCUCUGGGACUCGGCUUUCCCGAGGAGGAGACAACAUGCCUUUCUGCAUUGUACCCUCAUUUCACCCCUGCAAGGUCUGGUGUCUCCUCUUUUCAUGGGAAAGCAAACACCCCUUUAACACCCCCAGGCUCCUGCUGCUGGUUUCACACAGACCCCCCCGGCUAGUGAUGCUCACAGCUGCUGCCUGACUACCCAGAUUGACAAGGUGUGCACUCAGGUGUCAGCUCUUCUGACUGGUGUAUGGUUUGGUGUGGAGAUUACUGAUGAAGAGUUUGAGCUGCUACUUGACAGAAUCCCCCUUGAUGAAGAUGGAAAUGUCAAAUACCCCCAGUUCAUGCUCAGGUUUGAUUCCUGGUAUACAGCAUAUGCAUUUUAUUCCUCAUUUGUGAGCAGGAUUAUUUUUAAUCUAAAAGGCUCACGUAGCAUUUCCAGACUGAAUCUCAUUUCUUAACUGUGCUCCUUUAUGACAUUUCUUGCAAAGAGUGUGCUGAUUAUAUUUAAAAUUAGCUGGUGUUGUGGGUGUAUACUGUUUGUAAUUUAAUUUCUCUUUACAUGCUAUUUACAUUAUUUAGAAGAAAG
rnacentral:lncRNA from 1 species